AGAAAACAAACGAAGCUCUGGCCUUUGUUACAGCUGCUUUUACAACACACGUAGUCAGGGCUCCGUCCUGCUUUCCUGUGGCAAAGCCCUCUGAAGACAAAGGCGAUUUAGAGUGCGAGUUUUCAGUUUCGUCAUUUCAAAGGACUUUCUUGUUAGUAAAGGUGACUGUAACAACAGAAAAGACUUGAGAAUGCAGAAUUGUUUUCGCUAAUGAUGAACCAAGACGUUGCUGUGCACACGACUAGGAUACCCCAGCACACAGGAUGGUGCAGUAGAAGAGCAGGACUGUGUGACUGGGGAUGACCACCUCAUUUGGUAUGAACGCCUACUUACAGGAACAAAGAAAUCAUGUCACUUUUAAUCUUGCAUCACAUGGGGGAUGAAAAAUACAAAGAGCUGCAGCUACAUGGGCGUAUCAGACAGUAUGAAGCUUACUACAAAAUGGAUUUGCAAACUUUCAUGAAGCUUGGGCUACAUGAAAUAAAAAGAGAAAUCAUUGUGGA